rnacentral:rRNA from 1 species
CCUACGGGAGGCAGCAGUAGGGAAUAUUGCUCAAUGGGGGAAACCCUGACGCAGCAACGCCGCGUGGGGGAUGAAGGUUUUCGGAUCGUAAACCUCUAUCGGCAGGGAAGAAAAUGACGGUAUCUAACGAAUAAUCCCCGGCCAACUCCGUGCCAGCAGCCGCGGUAAUACGGAGGGUGAAAGCGUUAGUCGGAAUUACUGGGCGGAAAGAGAGCGUAGGCGGGAGAGCAAGUCAGGUGUGAAAUCCCAUGGCUUAACCAUGGAACUGCAUUUGAAACUGUGAAACUAGAGUGUGGGAGAGGUGAGUGGAAUUCUAGGUGUAGGAGUGAAAUCCGUAGAGAUCAGGAGGAAUACCAGUGGCGAAGGCGACCUGCUGGAACAUAACUGACGCUGAGGCGCGAAAGCGUGGGGAGCAAACAGGAUUAGAUACCCGAGUAGUC